GAGGCAGAUCCACAACUUACUAGUCAGUUUAAAGGGCAAAACAUACAAAAAAUGAUUAAAACAUUGCACGUUCAGGAAUGACUUUCCAUCACCUUAACUUUGCAUGUUCGCGUGGAGCUAGGGAUGGAGUAAACUAUAUUUAAGAACCUGUGAAUGGAAUAUUGAGACUUGCAAGCAAUUAACGAACUACCACUUACGUUGUAUCAUUAUUAAAUGAGAUCAUUAAGUCAUUAACUUAAAACCAUACAUAUUAGAAAUUGACAAUAUUAUCAAUAAAAAUGUUAUAUAUUCCUCUGUGAGAUUAUCAGACGUAUUCCACUCUUCUGUGGCAUGAAUUCUGUCCAAAAAAAAAUGAAAAUGAAAUGUGUUUUGGUCAUGAUACUGGAAAAACUCGAGACCACGUGCAAAUAACUGAUUGCGCAUGCGCCAUUCGUUUCUAUAAGUGCUUUUAAGAGUAAGGUUUUAAAAAUGAGUAUUUCGGAAACGUAAUAACUAAAACUACUAAUCAUUUGCUACUUUUCUUUCAGACAAUGACGAAAGCAGAUAUUCUAAAGACAGCCAGAUUACUACGCUAACUCCGUGUGAUAAUGCGCAUUCAAUAAUUUACAGAGUGUGGUGCUGCCGUACUACUUUUGUUAAUUGUUAUGUUCUUUCUGACAGAACAUUAGCUACUGUGUAUUAUGCCAUCGCAUACUGGGAGCAACCACACUUGGACAAAAGCCAUAGGAUGGUUAGAUAGUGCAGCCACAAGUUUCGAUGAAGCUUACGUUGCCAACAUCACAAAUAGUGAUCCCAGCAUAAAGACGUAUUGCAUCACAGCAUUUUACGUUUACGUUGCUGACGUCAAUAGGCUUAGGGAACGUGUCACCAAAUAACUACGCCGAGAAAAUACUCUCCAUAUUUGCUGUUCUGUUUGGUUGGCUGCGGAGUACUGCAAUCUUCGACGGUAACGUCUCUUUUAAAAUGAUGCGGAUGUAUCAGCGGACAGAUGACUACCAAGAAAAAAAACAAAAACUUUCAUCAUCUUCCGAAGAAUCCUGCACACUGAUUGCAAGAGACCUUCCAACACAUCUGGCUGUACACUAAU